rnacentral:rRNA from 1 species
AUCGAUGAAGAACGCAGCGAAUUGCGAUAAGUAAUGUGAAUUGCAGAAUUGUGAAUCAUCGAAUCUUUGAACGCACAUUGCGCCUUUUGGUAAUUCCAAAGGGCAUACCUGUUUGAGCGUCAUUUCACUCUUAAAUCGUUUGAUUUAGUAUUGAACUAUAUUUUUCUGUUGCAAAAUAGAAAAUAGUUUGAAAUUGAUUUGGCAAGAAGCAAUAUCCAGUUUGAAGCUUUCUUUUUACAACGUAAUAGGUUUUACCAACUCGUUGGCUAGUAAGGAGCUUUGUUAUAUUUGGAUAUAUCGCUUUGGCGUUAUAAUUUUUAAAAUUAAAAGUUUGACCUCAAAUCAGGUAAGACUACCCGCUGAACUUAAGCAUAUCAAUAAGCGGAGGAAAAGAAACCAACAGGGAUUGCCUUAGUAACGGCGAGUGAAGCGGCAAAAGCUCAAAUUUGAAAUCUGGCAGUAAUGUCCGAGUUGUAAUUUGAAGAAGGUAACUUUGGUGAUAGCUCUUGCAUAUGUUCCUUGGAACAGGACGUCAUAGAGGGUGAGAAUCCCGUAUAUGGUGAGAUGACAUAUUACUAUGUAAAGUGCCUUCGAAGAGUCGAGUUGUUUGGGAAUGCAGCUCUAAGUGGGUGGUAAAUUCCAUCUAAAGCUAAAUAUUGGCGAGAGACCGAUAGCGAACAAGUACAGUGAUGGAAAGAUGAAAAGAACUUUGAAAAGAGAGUGAAAAAGUACGUGAAAUUGUUGAAAGGGAAGGGCUUGAAAUCAGACUUGGUAUUCAAUGAUCAAUUUUCUUUCGGGGAGAUGCACUCGUUGUUUACUGGGCCAACAUCGAUUUAGACGGUGAGAUAAUGACAGUUGAAUGUGGCUUGCUUCGGUAAGUGUUAUAGCUUCUGUUGAUAUCAUCAGUUUGGAUCGAGGACUGCGCAUUUUUGCUAGGAUGUUGGCGUAAUGAUUUUAAGCCACCCGUCUUGAAACACGG